rnacentral:rRNA from 1 species
AUUGAACGCUGGCGGCAGGCCUAACACAUGCAAGUCGAACGAGUGGCGGACGGGUGAGUAAUGUCUGGGAAACUGCCCGAUGGAGGGGGAUAACUACUGGAAACGGUAGCUAAUACCGCAUACCAUCGGAUGUGCCCCGAUGGGAUUAGCUAGUAGGUGGGGUAACGGCGCACCUAGGCGACGAUCCCUAGCUGGUCUGAGAGGAUGACCAGCAGCACGGGAGUGUGGACAGGGGCCAGACUCCUACGGGAGGCAGCAGUGGGAAAAAUUGGACAAUGGGCGCAAGCCUGAUGCAGCCAUGCCGCGUGUAUGAAGAAGGCCUUCGGGUUGUAAAGUACUUUCAGCGAGGAGGCGUUACUCGCAGAAGAAGCACCGGCUAACUCCGUGCCAGCAGCCGCGGUAAUUC